rnacentral:rRNA from 1 species
GACGAACGCUGGCGGCGUGCCUAAUACAUGCAAGUCGAGCGGACAGAUGGGAGCUUGCUCCCUGAAGUUAGCGGCGGACGGGUGAGUAACACGUGGGCAACCUGCCCUGCAGAUGGGGAUAACUCCGGGAAACCGGGGCUAAUACCGAAUAAUCAGUUUCUCCGCAUGGAGAAACUCUGAAAGACGGUUUCGGCUGUCACUGCAGGAUGGGCCCGCGGCGCAUUAGCUAGUUGGUGGGAUAACGGCCUACCAAGGCAACGAUGCGUAGCCGACCUGAGAGGGUGAUCGGCCACACUGGGAAUGAGACACGGCCCAGACUCCUACGGGAGGCAGCAGUAGGGAAUCUUCCACAAUGGACGAAAGUCUGAUGGAGCAACGCCGCGUGAGUGAAGAAGGUUUUCGGAUCGUAAAGCUCUGUUGUGAGGGAAGAACACGUACGGGAGUCACUGCCCGUACCUUGACGGUACCUCAUUAGAAAGCCACGGCUAACUACGUGC